UAGUAUUGUGAUUUAUUUCAGAUUACGUGAGCAAUGCUGAUUGUUACCGAUCUCUUCUUAGUACAGCGGAGGCAUGUGAAAAUCACGCAGGAUCCAUUUUUCAAACGUAUAAGCAGUACCAACAAUCAGAUACCGAGGAAAUGGAAGAAAUGAAAAAUGGACGUUACAGAUACUGUUUCGUACAAGCUUAUAAGGUAGCAUGCCUGUCCAUAAGAAUCAACCUGCAAUGCGGAGAGCUCGCCCGGAGCACAUUCCUGGAUAUAGUGCGGCGUUCCAAUCACUUGAAGCAAUACUGCUCGCAAACAAUCAAAGAGGACUUGCAGACACGUUUCUUGGAUUUCACUGGACUGGAGGGCGAACAAAGAGAACUCAUGGCUGACGCAUUCAAUUUCAAAAGGAAAUAAAAUUAAUAAAUAAUAUUUGCAUACAGCACGCUGUAAAAAUAUUUUUGUUUUUUUACUCCGUUGUACCGAUCUUUAAUAAAGCGGACUUUCAUUCUUUCA